GAGCGGAAGAUGGGAGCUUGCUCCCUGAUGUUAGCGGCGGACGGGUGAGUAACACGUGGGUAACCUGCCUGUAAGACUGGGAUAACUCCGGGAAACCGGGGCUAAUACCGGAUGGUUGUCUGAACCGCAUGGUUCAGACAUAAAAGGUGGCUUCGGCUACCACUUACAGAUGGACCCGCGGCGCAUUAGCUAGUUGGUGAGGUAACGGCUCACCAAGGCGACGAUGCGUAGCCGACCUGAGAGGGUGAUCGGCCACACUGGGACUGAGACACGGCCCAGACUCCUACGGGAGGCAGCAGUAGGGAAUCUUCCGCAAUGGACGAAAGUCUGACGGAGCAACGCCGCGUGAGUGAUGAAGGUUUUCGGAUCGUAAAGCUCUGUUGUUAGGGAAGAACAAGUGCCGUUCAAAUAGGGCGGCACCUUGACGGUACCUAACCAGAAAGCCACGGCUAACUACGUGCCAGCAGCCGCGGUAAUACGUAGGUGGCAAGCGUUGUCCGGAAUUAUUGGGCGUAAAGGGCUCGCAGGCGGUUUCUUAAGUCUGAUGUGAAAGCCCCCGGCUCAACCGGGGAGGGUCAUUGGAAACUGGGGAACUUGAGUGCAGAAGAGGAGAGUGGAAUUCCACGUGUAGCGGUGAAAUGCGUAGAGAUGUGGAGGAACACCAGUGGCGAAGGCGACUCUCUGGUCUGUAACUGACGCUGAGGAGCGAAAG
rnacentral:rRNA from 1 species